CUAGAUUCAGUUCAUGUCUUCUAUCAUUUAUUUCAGCAGGUAAAGUGUGAACAUUCUGUUGUUGCAGGAGUGGUAAAACUUUGACCCUUGGGUUUUAUUGAUGUUAUCACAUCCCGGAAAAAUCUUGACAUCACCUUGGACUACAGUCUUGCCACAGAUCACCUGAAACAGCAAUAUUUGAUUCAUAACUUCCUCAGUGGGGUGUGAUAACAUCACGUGUCGUGAGAGUCUCCUUAACCCCGGCUGAGUUGAGAUGGAAGUGAGUCGGACCAGUCUCUCUAGGGAGAAGCCAGAGGAGUAUCAGCGAAGGAUCAUGGGAGAUAGAGUCCAAAUCGAGGCAUGCUACAGAAAUGAACUGGUCAGAGCUGCACAGAGCACUGCUGUUUUCCAGAAACCUACAGUGGUGCGGACCAAUGAGGUGGAGGAGAGGGAGCGCUACAGAUACCAGUGGAGGAAGGAGGACAGGCAGAGAAUCGUCGGUGACAGAUUGGAGCUCUUCGUCGCCAUAGGGACGGGGUUGUUGAUGGGGGUUCUGACAGGUGGUUUUGGAGGUGUUGUCAUGGGAGGGUUGACAGGGGCAGUGAUAUGGUUUACAACAGGACUGGUUAGGAACUGGUGGAGCCCCUGAUUCACUGGGAGACACCAUGUGUCGGCUAUGGAUCUACUUUUAUAAAGACAUUUGGAGGAUAAAACAAUUUGAACAUGUAUAGAUAGAAGGGCUUAAGUCUUGGUCUUGUUUCUUGAUGCAUUUAUCCAACUUUAAUUAUGAAUAAUUUGGAACUGAAUAAAAGCCCAAUAAAGAGAUAAGAAACAGAGAAUAUAUUGAUUAUUUUUAAAGAGAGAUGAAACCCUCAUAUUCAUCACCAGUGUUAACCUACAGUACUUCUGUGAAGUCAGUCCUGAUAUGGGUCUGAACCUGUUACUCAUGAACAAAUUAAAACAGAGAUUCUUCCAGAAAUAUCGUUCCCUGAUUUCAUCUGACCAAGUAUUCAGAUAUUGUGUGACAGUAGUUAUGGCCAGGCCAAUGAAAGACCUUCAUCCUACCCUGUAAAAUCCUUACAAAUAACAGCAACAAGAGCUAGUGACUCGAUCACCAAAUAUACAUGAUCAAUGAAUAGUUUACGUAAACAAACAUAGGGAUCCUACUAGAACCCCGAUCCAGCGACUGUCAACCCAACACAGUUUGGCCAAGAUCACAGUCUGUAUCCAGAAAGGACCUCAGAGUAGGAGUACUGAUCUAGGAUCUGUCCAUAUAAUCAUUAUGAUCGAAAC